CUCUUCGGAGUUAGUGGCGGACGGGUGAGUAACACGUGGGAACGUGCCUUUAGGUUCGGAAUAACUCAGGGAAACUUGUGCUAAUACCGAAUGUGCCCUUCGGGGGAAAGAUUUAUCGCCUUUAGAGCGGCCCGCGUCUGAUUAGCUAGUUGGUGAGGUAAAGGCUCACCAAGGCGACGAUCAGUAGCUGGUCUGAGAGGAUGAUCAGCCACAUUGGGACUGAGACACGGCCCAAACUCCUACGGGAGGCAGCAGUGGGGAAUCUUGCGCAAUGGGCGAAAGCCUGACGCAGCCAUGCCGCGUGAAUGAUGAAGGUCUUAGGAUUGUAAAAUUCUUUCAGUAGGGACGAUAAUGACGGUACCUACAGAAGAAGCCCCGGCUAACUUCGUGCCAGCAGCCGCGGUAAUACGAAGGGGGCUAGCGUUGCUCGGAAUUACUGGGCGUAAAGGGAGCGUAGGCGGACAUUUAAGUCAGGGGUGAAAUCCCGGGGCUCAACCUCGGAAUUGCCUUUGAUACUGGGUGUCUUGAGUGUGAGAGAGGUAUGUGGAACUCCGAGUGUAGAGGUGAAAUUCGUAGAUAUUCGGAAGAACACCAGUGGCGAAGGCGACAUACUGGCUCAUUACUGACGCUGAGGCUCGAAAGCGUGGGGAGCAAACAGGAUUAGAUACCCUGGUAGUCCACGCCGUAAACGAUGAUUGCUAGUUGUCGGGAUGCAUGCAUUUCGGUGACGCAGCUAACGCAUUAAGCAAUCCGCCUGGGGAGUACGGUCGCAAGAUUAAAACUCA
rnacentral:rRNA from 1 species